UUAAAAAAACGCCGCCCACUUAAUUUUUGGGGGGUUAAUUCCCUAAAUAUUUCUUUUUUUUUUAUAUA
rnacentral:tRNA from 1 species